AAUAAGGUGCCUGAUUAAAAGGAUUACUUUGAUAGAGUAAAUUAUGUAAGUUCCUCCUUACCCUUAUUA
rnacentral:tRNA from 1 species